GACGAACGCUGGCGGCGUGCCUAAUACAUGCAAGUCGAACGCAGUGGGGACGGGUGAGUAACACGUGGGUAACCUCCCAUCAGAGGGGAUAACACUUGGAAACAGGUGCUAAACCGAUACUGAUGGAUGGACCCGCGGUGCAUUAGCUAGUUGGUGAGGUAACGGCCCACCAAGGCCACGAUGCAUAGCAGACCGGAGAGGAGGAUCGGCCACUCUGGGACUGGAACACGGCCAAGACUCCUACGGGAGGCAGCAGUAGGGAAACUUCGGCAAUGGAGGAAAGUCUGACCGAGCAAAGCAGCGUGAGUGAAGAAGGUUGUCGGAACGUAAGACUCUGUUGUUAGAGAAGCUGUAUCUAACCAGAAAGCCACGGCUAACUACGUGCCAGCAGCCGCGGUAAUUC
rnacentral:rRNA from 1 species